rnacentral:rRNA from 1 species
CCUACGGGAGGCAGCAGUGAGGAAUAUUGGUCAAUGGACGAGAGUCUGAACCAGCCAAGUAGCGUGAAGGAUGACUGCCCUAUGGGUUGUAAACUUCUUUUAUAUGGGAAUAAAACGUUCCACGUGUGGGAUUUUGUAUGUACCAUAUGAAUAAGGAUCGGCUAACUCCGUGCCAGCAGCCGCGGUAAUACGGAGGAUCCGAGCGUUAUCCGGAUUUAUUGGGUUUAAAGGGAUCGUAGGUGGAUUGUUAAGUCAGUUGUGAAAGUUUGCGGCUCAACCGUAAAAUUGCAGUUGAAACUGGCAGUCUUGAGUACAGUAGAGGUGGGCGGAAUUCGUGGUGUAGCGGUGAAAUGCUUAGAUAUCACGAAGAACUCCGAUUGCGAAGGCAGUUCACUGGACUGCAACUGACACUGAGGCUCGAAAGUGUGGGUAUCAAACAGGAUUAGAUACCCUAGUAGUC